ACAGCUGCUAAUACCGGAUACGAGCUGCGAAGGCAUCUUCAGCAGCUGGAAAGAAUUUCGGUCCGGGAUGGGCUCGCGGCCUAUCAGCUAGUUGGUGAGGUAAUGGCUCACCAAGGCGUCGACGGGUAGCCGGCCUGAGAGGGUGACCGGCCACACUGGGACUGAGACACGGCCCAGACUCCUACGGGAGGCAGCAGUGGGGAAUAUUGCACAAUGGGCGAAAGCCUGAUGCAGCAACGCCGCGUGAGGGAUGACGGCCUUCGGGUUGUAAACCUCUUUUAGCAGGGAAGAAGCGAAAGUGACGGUACCUGCAGAAAAAGCGCCGGCUAACUACGUGCCAGCAGCCGCGGUAAUACGUAGGGCGCAAGCGUUAUCCGGAAUUAUUGGGCGUAAAGAGCUCGUAGGCGGUUUGUCGCGUCUGCUGUGAAAACCCGAGGCUCAACCUCGGGCCUGCAGUGGGUACGGGCAGACUAGAGUGCGGUAGGGGAGAUUGGAAUUCCUGGUGUAGCGGUGGAAUGCGCAGAUAUCAGGAGGAACACCGAUGGCGAAGGCAGAUCUCUGGGCCGUAACUGACGCUGAGGAGCGAAAGGGUGGGGAGCAAACAGGCUUAGAUACCCUGGUAGUCCACCCCGUAAACGUUGGGAACUAGUUGUGGGGUCCAUUCCACGGAUUCCGUGACGCAGCUAACGCAUUAAGUUCCCCGCCUGGGGAGUACGGCCGCAAGGCUAAAACUCAAAGGAAUUGACGGGGACCCGCACAAGCGGCGGAGCAUGCGGAUUAAUUCGAUGCAACGCGAAGAACCUUACCAAGGCUUGACAUAUACGAGAACGGGCCAGAAAUGGUCAACUCUUUGGACACUCGUAAACAGGUGGUGCAUGGUUGUCGUCAGCUCGUGUCGUGAGAUGUUGGGUUAAGUCCCGCAACGAGCGCAACCCUCGUUCUAUGUUGCCAGCACGUAAUGGUGGGAACUCAUGGGAUACUGCCGGGGUCAACUCGGAGGAAGGUGGGGAUGACGUCAAAUCAUCAUGCCCCUUAUGUCUUGGGCUUCACGCAUGCUACAAUGGCCGGUACAAAGGGCUGCAAUACCGCAAGGUGGAGCGAAUCCCAAAAAGCCGGUCCCAGUUCGGAUUGAGGUCUGCAACUCGACCUCAUGAAGUCGGAGUCGCUAGUAAUCGCAGA
rnacentral:rRNA from 1 species